UAACGCGUGGGGAACCUGCCCUAUACAGGGGGGUAACAGCUGGAAACGGCUGCUAAUACCGCAUAAGCGCACAGAAUCGCAUGAUUCAGUGUGAAAAGCCCUGGCAGUAUAGGAUGGUCCCGCGUCUGAUUAGCUGGUUGGUGAGGUAACGGCUCACCAAGGCGACGAUCAGUAGCCGGCUUGAGAGAGUGAACGGCCACAUUGGGACUGAGACACGGCCCAA
rnacentral:rRNA from 1 species